AGCAGCCGCGGUAAUUCCAGCUCCAAUAGCGUAUAUUAAAGUUGUUGCAGUUAAAAAGCUCGUAGUUGAAUUUCGGGGUCAGCAGGUUGGUCGUGCCAAUGGUAUGAACUGGCCUUGCUGAUUCCUCCCUCUUGAUGAGCCGUAAUGUCAUUAAUUUGGUGUUGCGGGGAAUCAGGACUGUUACUUUGAAAAAAUUAGAGUGUUUAAAGCAGGCAAGCGCUUGAAUACACUAGCAUGGAAUAAUGAAAUAGGACGUUUGAUCCUAUUUUGUUGGUUUCUAGGAUUGACGUAAUGAUUAAUAGGGAUAGUUGGGGGCAUUAGUAUUCAAUUGUCAGAGGUGAAAUUCUUGGAUUUAUUGAAGACUAACUACUGCGAAAGCAUUUGCCAAGGAUGUUUUCAUUAAUCAAGAACGAAAGUUAGGGGAUCGAAGACGAUCAGAUACCGUCGUAGUCUUAACCAUAAACUAUGCCGACUAGGGAUCGGAUGAUGUUAAUUUUUUAAUGACUCA
rnacentral:rRNA from 1 species